AGCCGGUGAUGACUCUUAACUUUUCUGACACCUCGUAUGAGCUGCUGAAGCAGCUAGUGAUUAGGAGUUUCUGUCUGAGGCUC